rnacentral:rRNA from 1 species
UAAUGGCAGGUCAGCAUACUGCCGUGAAUACGUUCCCGGGCCUUGUACACACCGCCCGUCACACCAUGAGAGUUGGGAAUACCCGAAGCCUGUGAGCUAACUUUUAGAGGCAGCAGUCGAAGGUAGAAUCAAUGAUUGGGGUGAAGUCGUAACAAGGUACC